UACAGAGGGGGCAAGCGUUGUUCGGAAUUACUGGGCGUAAAGAGCUCGUAGGUGGUUUGUCGCGUUGUUCGUGAAAACUCACAGCUUAACUGUGGGCGUGCGGGCGAUACGGGCAGACUGGAGUACUGCAGGGGAGACUGGAAUUCCUGGUGUAGCGGUGAAAUGCGUAGAUAUCUGGAGGAAUACCGGUGGCGAAGGCGGCAUCCUGGACCAUUACUGACACUGAUCCGCGAAAGCUAGGGGAGCAAACGGG
rnacentral:rRNA from 1 species